AUACGGAGGGUGCUAGCGUUGUUCGGAAUUACUGGGCGUAAAGCGUACGUAGGCGGACUGAUCAGUUGGGGGUGAAAUCCCAGGGCUUAACCCUGGAACUGCCUUCAAUACUGUCUGUCUUGAGAUUGGAAGAGGUGAGUGGAAUUCCUAGUGUAGAGGUGAAAUUCAUAGAUAUUAGGAGGAACACCAGUGGCGAAGGCGGCUCACUGGUCCAAUACUGACGCUGAGGUACGAAAGCGUGGGGAGCAAACAGGAUUAGAAACCCCAGUAGUCC
rnacentral:rRNA from 1 species